rnacentral:lncRNA from 1 species
UGGUGCUGAUUACACAGGCGAGGACUUGCCCGUCCAUCUGUAGUCUGAGAUGUCGCCCUGCUAUCCUUGUUCCGCCAACGACAAUGUCUCCUCUGGCCGCUUAUCCCGCUCUGCAUCCAAAUCGGGCAACUGCAGUCUGAAGGUAGGCUUCAUCGUGGCUUCCUUUUUCUUCAUGUUUCUGAUUAUACAGUAGUCUGAAUGUCAUGAGAGAUCGUGGGGGUUCAAUGAUUAACUGAAUAGAUGAUGUCACUUUGUUUGAGUUUGGAGAUAUUGGGAGUGCCAACCAUUGGCGACUCACUUUAUAAUCUGUAAUAUAAUGUUUACUUAGUUUCUGGAUAGAUUAAAGUGUAUGUUGUGCCCAUAAAGUGGUUGAGGAAUUGCUCUUGUAUAGAAGCGUAGACUAAAAAUACAAUGGAUAGCCCAAAAAGCUAUAUGAUGACAAUCCAAAUUUCUACAAGAGUACUAAACACCAACUGCAACUAUGAUUGCAAAGAAUACAUCUCAACUUUCUUUCUGCUAAAUCCUGAAUGAUCGUUUUUCAAUAUUUUGGUGCAAUCAUAUCUCAACUACAUGAUGACACACUACUGACUUAUACAUAGGAUCUCGAGCCCGCCAUGGUAGGACAACUUCGACCAUGGAGCGGAGCCAGCGGGCAUGGUCCGGCACGGGCGGCAAGUGAUUUUUUGUUCUUAUUGAUGACUUGUUCCUACACAUACAUCCGGAGAAAGCAGAUGUAUACGAUGUUCACUUUGAGAGGCUGAACUGAACAACGUAAAAACAAGAGGCUGAACUGAAUUAGGUUGAUAUGAAGGGAUUAACAAAGGAUCAACGUGCCACCAUGGUGGUGGUGGUCCGUGAUAUUUUAAGAACAACGGUGAGGUAAUAUCAUGUAGUUGUGCUCAGUACUUUUCGUUUGUCUGUUGAAGGAUUUAUAUGAUUACAACAUUUACUUUAUAGCCACACUUGUUUUUUUCUUCUAGGCGAGCUCAGUUUGCACAGUCCUCCCCAAUGACCAUUUCAGAGGCUGGACAUAAGUAAAUUUCUGGUUGAUGUAUUUUCUACCUGUUCUAGCGACCAUUGUGCGCAAUUUAAACUAGCACGCCUGAUUAUGUUC